rnacentral:rRNA from 1 species
AACGAGACCUUCCGGGUCUAGUGGCGCACGGGUGCGUAACGCGUGGGAACCUGCCCUUAGGUUCGGAAUAACUUCCCGAAAGAGAUGCUAAUACCGGAUAAUGUCUUCGGACCAAAGAUUUAUCGCCUUUGGAUGGGCCCGCGUAGGAUUAGCUUGUUGGUGGGGUAAUGGCCUACCAAGGCGACGAUCCUUAGCUGGUCUGAGAGGAUGAUCAGCCACACUGGGACUGAGACACGGCCCAGACCCCUACGGGAGGCAGCAGUGGGGAAUAUUGGACAAUGGGCGAAAGCCUGAUCCAGCAAUGCCGCGUGAGUGACGAAGGCCUUAGGGUUGUAAAGCUCUUUUACCAGGGAUGAUAAUGACAGUACCUGGAGAAUAAGCUCCGGCUAACUCCGUGCCAGCAGCCGCGGUAAUACGGAGAGAGCUAGCGUUGUUCGGAAUUACUGGGCGUAAAGCGCACGUAGGCGGCGAUUCAAGUCAGAGGUG